rnacentral:rRNA from 1 species
UACGGGGGGAGCAAGCGUUGUUCGGAUUUACUGGGCGUAAAGGGCGCGUAGGCGGCCACCGCAAGUCAAUUGUGAAAUCUCCGGGCUUAACCCGGAAAGGUCAACUGAUACUGUGCGACUAGAGUGCGGAAGGGGCAACUGGAAUUCUCGGUGUAGCGGUGAAAUGCGUAGAUAUCGAGAGGAACACCUGCGGCGAAGGCGGGUUGCUGGGCCGACACUGACGCUGAUGCGCGAAAGCCAGGGGAGCGAACGGG